AGAGGCGAGGGUGAUUGUGAGGGAUGGAGAGGCGCCCGUGGCCUAAGUGUGCUGAUGGUGGGAGUGAAUGAGUGGACGGGUGGGACCUGUGAGGGGAACGCGACCCCGGGUCGGCGCGGGCAGAGAGGCGCGCGAAGCAACCGUGACAAGUGGUGCCCGACCAGGGACCUGAACGAGGAAGGUCUGCCAGAGCAGAGAAAGUGAAACUGAUCAGACGAACUACGAACCCCUGGACGGGAGAGUCUGCCGGCGGAGAAUAUAAGGAGAUGGACAAACCGUGUGGGUGCCCUCCAGGUGUGUGUGACCAUGGAACGGGAGACCGGAGGGAUCCAUGGUAUUCAACCGUGGGCCUGUUACCUCCAGUACGAGCCAUGAGCCAGCGGAAUCUGAAUGCAA
rnacentral:lncRNA from 10 species